rnacentral:rRNA from 1 species
UACGUAGGGUGCAAGCGUUGUCCGGAAUUAUUGGGCGUAAAGAGCUUGUAGGCGGUUUGUCGCGUCUGCUGUGAAAUUUCGGGGCUCAACCCCGAACUUGCAGUGGGUACGGGCAGACUAGAGUCCGGUAGGGGACCAUGGAAUUCCUGGUGUAGCGGUGAAAUGCGCAGAUAUCAGGAGGAACACCGGUGGCGAAGGCGGUGGUCUGGGCCGGCACUGACGCUGAGGAGCGAAAGCGUGGGGAGCGAACAGG